UACUAUCUUAAAAGCAGUAACUUUCUAACUUGUAUGUUAAAUUACUAAAAUACCCCAACUAAAAACACUCAAUUUAGUAUAUUUUCUAUAUUAUAUUAAAAGUAGAUACAUUUUCACAUUGAAGGCCCGGAACUAUCACAUCUUUUCUUCCCAGACGAUCUUUUAUCAUGCUUGUCAGAUUCAUAGCACUGGUUUGUCUUCUCCUUCUCUAGUUAACGUGUUUUACAAGUUCUGUCAAUGUGAUAUCUAUCUUUUUAAGUAGAGAGCACUACUUUUUAUAAGCAAAAUGAUCUAUAAUCCCCUUAAUGUUGACUACUUUGCAACCUCGCCGUUAAACAGUUCUUGGCCUUCUUUUCUCAGACUAUUUUAACUCCGUGUUGGAGACAUUUCCAUCAGGGUUGCUGUUAGAACUACUACCACUGCUAACACUGUCAUAUACUUUCUAUGGAUGUUUCAGUCACUAACCAGGUACAUUGAGUUUUAGGAUGCAAUGUCUGUGCCAAUGGCUAUUGCUUUACCUGGUCGCUUGCUUUUUGGCCAACCAGUCAUCGUAAAACCUUCUGAAGCGGAUAAGAACCUUGUUUAGUCAACCGCAUCUAGUGCUGGAUCAGGGUUGGCAGGGACAAAUACUGCCUCUGAGAGAACUUUAUGUAGGAAAUCUUCAUUUUAACAUGACAGCGUUACAGCUCAGAUAGUUUGCUCAACUUGAACAUGCAAAGGCAUCUCAAAGUUUGAAUUGCAAGCUUGAGAUUGCGGGUCGCACCAUCAAGGUUUCAUCCGUUGCUGAAGAUGUUCGAGUACAAGAUGCUGGAGCUAAAACUGCUGAUUUUAAUGAUGAUGAAGGAGGAGGCUUGGUUUGCUUGACUGUUUAUAGGCAUGGAGGUUCUUUCAGUGGCAAACCCUGUGAAUAUUCAUCAACAGUAACAUAAUUUGAUUUAGGCUGAUAGUUAUAACUCAUGUAAGAGCUGGUUCUGUCUAAUUAAUUGGACUCAUCUUUUCUCCCUUUUGGCAACAGUGUGGUGAUCACUCACAAAUGGUUUCUUACAUCAUUUUUAUUUUUGUUGUGAUAUUGUUAGAUAACUUGUACUGAUGAAUAUUAUAAUACGACUUGU